AUUUACCUACGGGGGGCAGCAGUGAGGAAUAUUGGUCAAUGGACGCAAGUCUGAACCAGCCAAGUAGCGUGCAGGAUGACGGCCCUCCGGGUUGUAAACUGCUUUUAGUUGGGAAUAAAAGGGGGCUCGCGAGCCCCGUAUUGUAUGUACCAUAAGAAAAAGGACCGGCUAAUUCCGUGCCAGCGGCAGCGGUAAUACGGAAGGUCCGGCCGUUAUCUGGAUUUAUUGGGUUUAAA
rnacentral:rRNA from 1 species